UUAAAAUCAAAAUUACAACAACUCUAGUUCUACCACAAAACUUGUAAGAGAAAAUGGAGAAGGCAACAUUCCUUAAAGUUUUCUUGAUCUCCUUUUUGCUUAUGUUGUUUGGGCAAGAAAGCCAUGCGGUAGGAUGCGCUAAGGAUGGUGAUUGUGUUAGGGUUAAAUGCAUAGACACACAUUCCAAAUGUGACUCAGCAACACAUCAAUGCAUCUGUCCAAUUCCACCAAAUUAUGGAUCAAAAAGGGUUCACAAGACUGACCAUAACUAAUUUGCAAUAUUUGCUAUUCAUAUACAAAAUUGAAUCAUGAUUUAAGUAUUUCCUUUUCAUAUAUAUAUGGUUCAAUAAAUAAAAUUCCCUUUUUCAUAUUAA